AUUGAACGCUGGCGGCAGGCCUAACACAUGCAAGUCGAGCGAGCGGCGGACGGGUGAGUAAUUUCUGGGAAACUACCUGAUGGAGUGGGAUAACUACUGGAAACGGUAGCUAAUACCGCAUACUAUCAGAUGUGCCCAGAUGUGAUUAGCUAGUAGUUGGGGUAAUGGCUCACCUAGACGACGAUCCCUAGCUGGUCUGCGAGGAUGACCAGCCACACUGGAACUGAGAUACGGCCCAGACCAAACCGGGAGGCAGCAGUGGGGAAUAGAGCACAAGGGGAGGAAGGCUGAUGCAGACCUGCCGCGUGUGGGAAGAAGGGCUGCGGGUUGGAGAGCUAUUUUAGCGGGGAGGAGUUACUCGAAGAAGAAGCACCGGCUAACUCCGUGCCAGCAGCCGCGGUAAUUC
rnacentral:rRNA from 1 species